rnacentral:rRNA from 1 species
ACACAUGCAAGUCGAGGGGCAGCAUGGUCUUAGCUUGCUAAGGCUGAUGGCGACCGGCGCACGGGUGAGUAACACGUAUCCAACCUGCCGUCUACUCUUGGCCAGCCUUCUGAAAGGAAGAUUAAUCCAGGAUGGCAUCAUGAGUUCACAUGUCCGCAUGAUUAAAGGUAUUUUCCGGUAGACGAUGGGGAUGCGUUCCAUUAGAUAGUAGGCGGGGUAACGGCCCACCUAGUCAACGAUGGAUAGGGGUUCUGAGAGGAAGGUCCCCCACAUUGGAACUGAGACACGGUCCAAACUCCUACGGGAGGCAGCAGUGAGGAAUAUUGGUCAAUGGGCGAUGGCCUGAACCAGCCAAGUAGCGUGAAGGAUGACUGCCCUAUGGGUUGUAAACUUCUUUUAUAAAGGAAUAAAGUCGGGUAUGCAUACCCGUUUGCAUGUACUUUAUGAAUAAGGAUCGGCUAACUCCGUGCCAGCAGCCGCGGUAAUACGGAGGAUCCGAGCGUUAUCCGGAUUUAUUGGGUUUAAAGGGAGCGUAGAUGGAUGUUUAAGUCAGUUGUGAAAGUUUGCGGCUCAACCGUAAAAUUGCAGUUGAUACUGGAUGUCUUGAGUGCAGUUGAGGCAGGCGGAAUUCGUGGUGUAGCGGUGAAAUGCUUAGAUAUCACGAAGAACUCCGAUCGCGAAGGCAGCCUACUAAGCUGCAACUGACAUUGAGGCUCGAAAGUGUGGGUAUCAAACAGGAUUAGAUACCC